CUUGGCGGAGGUGUAGCGGGUGGGGUCGUCCCCGAACUCGGCCAGCACCCGGGCGCCGGUGAUCUCGCCGAUGCCGGGC
rnacentral:sRNA from 1 species